GCCUGGGUGGCUCAGUCGGUUAAGCAUCUGACUUCGACUCAGGUCAUGAUCUCACAGUCUGUGAGUUCGAGCCCCACAUCGGGCU
rnacentral:tRNA from 1 species